rnacentral:rRNA from 1 species
CCCUUAGAUGUUCUGGGCUGCACGUGCGCUACACUGAUGCAUUCAACGAGCUUUCGAUCUUGCCCGAGAGGGUUGGAUAAUCUUUUUAAAGUGCAUCGUGAUGGGGAUAGAUUAUUGCAAUUAUUAAUCUUCAACGAGGAAUUCCUAGUAAGCGCGAGUCAUCAGCUCGUGCUGAUUACGUCCCUGCCCUUUGUACACACCGCCCGUCGCUCCUACCGAUUGAGUGGUCCGGUGAGGCUUUGGGAUCUGAGCGGAAAGAGCGUUUCGCUGUUUCUGCUCGGAAAACUCAGUCGAACCUUAUCAUUUAGAGGAAGGAGAAGUCGUAACA